rnacentral:rRNA from 1 species
UUGGGCGUAAAUGGCGCGUAGGCGGAUGGAUAAGUCAGAUGUGAAAUUCCGAAACUCAAUUUCGGGACUGCAUUUGAAACUGUGUAUCUGGAGGAUUGACGGAGAAAACGGAAUUCCACGUGUAGCGGUGAAAUGCGUAGAUAUGUGGAAGAACACCUGUGGCGAAAGCGGUUUUCUAGUUUAUACCUGACGCUGAUGCGCGAGAGCAAGGGGAGCAAACAGGAUUAGAUACCCUGGUAGUCCUUGCCGUAAACGAUGUAUACUUGAUGUAGUGAGGCUCAACCCUGACUGUGUCGAAGCUAACGCGAUAAGUAUACCGCCUGAGGAGUACGCUCGCAAGGGUGAAACUCAAAAGAAUUGACGGGGGCCCGCACAAGCAGUGGAGCAUGUGGUUUAAUUCGAUGCAACGCGAAGAACCUUACCCAGGCUCGAAAUGUAAUGGACGAUACCAGAGAUGGUAUUUUCCGAAAGGACCGUUAUAUAGGUGCUGCAUGGCUGUCGUCAGCUCGUGCCGUGAGGUGUUGGGUUAAGUCCCGCAACGAGCGCAACCCUUAUCAUUAGUUGCCAACACGAGAGGUGGGGACUCUAAUGAGACUGCCUAGGUUAACUAGGAGGAAGGUGAGGAUGACGUCAAGUCCGCAUGGCCUUUAUGUCUGGGGCUACACACGUGCUACAAUGGUCGGUACAGAAGGCAGCAAGACCGCAAGGUGGAGCAAAUCCGUAAAGCCGAUCACAGUUCAGAUUGUAGUCUGCAACUCGACUACAUGAAGACGGAAUUGCUAGUAAUGGCGAGUC